GACCUUGUCGCUCAUAAAAAAUAAGAAUUCUUGAAAAAAUAUUUCUUUUUAUCUAUUUUUUUUUUUAACCAGUGUUCUCUUUGCGUUGCUUUUAUCGUACUCCCUCCCUAACAGCAAUGUGUUCUUGGACAAUACUGAGUGGAGGUGGGACUGUCGGGGGAAUGGUUGUUAAAGGAAACUUUAAACAACUGCUCACAGAUUAUGGUAUGUUAGAAUGUUCCAGCAGGGGCCAAAAUAUUUUAAACUCUUUGAAAAAUAUGUGACUGGAAAAGACAAGAAGCCCAGUAAUGGAUAGUUUAUGGCACCUCGGUUAUUCUUGAAUGCUUCCCUGAAACCGUUUUUUUGGCUUAUCUGUUUGUUUGGGUCCCUAGAGUUUAUUAUUCCUUGAGGCUGUGUAUCAUAAAUUCUGAAUGGAGAAUCAAGAAAAAUCAUGACCUUAGUGGUUGUAGAAAAAGUUGCUGUUCUUCCAGGUGGUUUUCGAGAAUGCUUCAGAGUUGCUGGUAUCCUUCCUCACUUUCAAGCCCAAACAGCAUUACAAGGUUUCCUUUGCCACAUGGUUUUUCCAGAGAUUCAGUUUUCCUUUGAAAUCCAAAUGUCUUGUCACUUGAAGUCAAAACAUUUUUUUAAAAUUUGUUCAACUGGUUCAUAUUAUUUUUAAAAGUCUGCUAAGAGGCUAGCUCCUGCAGUCACUCUUCAUCUUCAGAGCACUCAGUAAAGGAUGGCCUACAAUUUUCAUGAAAGUACUUCUGUAAUUCGACUUUCAGCUUCAGCGUUCUGUUGAGAAUACCUCCUAUGCUGAGCCACUGGAUUUCUGUAUGUAGCAGGAGAUUUAGGUGCUCAAGUAUACUGGUCUGUGUUUAAUAAAGCAAAUCAUUUUUAAACAUCA